CCCUUAGAUGUUCUGGGCCGCACGCGUGCUACACUGAGUGGAUCAGCGGGUCAGGUUGCGCGAAAGUGUUUCCUAAUCUUGAAAUCCGCUCGUGAUGGGGAUUGACGGUUGCAAUUUUCCGUCAUGAACGAGGAAUACCUUGUAAGCGCGGGUCAUCAUCCCGCGCUGAAUACGUCCCUGCCCUUUGUACACACCGCCCGUCGCUCCUACCGAUUGAGUGGUCCGGUGAGGCUUUGGGAUCUGAGCAAAGAGAGCGUUUCGCUCGUUUUGCCCGGAAAACUCAGUCGAACCUUAUCAUUUAGAGGAAGGAGAAGUCGUAACA
rnacentral:rRNA from 1 species